rnacentral:snoRNA from 1 species
UGGGAGGAUGAUACACAACUAGGGCUCAAUCUGCUCUAAUUGUCACACAUUCUCCCUAUAGUAACUUUCCCUGCCGAUGACCGGGACGAAGCGAGAGAACUCGUAACGGACAGAUACGAGGUGCACAGUG